UCGCCGCUCAGAGAAUCGCAGCAGUGGUGGGGCUGGAAGGGAGCUCUGGAGAUCACCCAGUGCAGCCCUCCCGCCAAGGCAGGGCCACCCAGAGCAGAAGACACGGAACCAUUCCCAUUAAGAACCCUACACCUUCACCUUCAAGGCUCUGCAGACUUUGGGUUUCAGAAGCAAAGGAAUCCACUUCCAUUCACAGAGCAUUCAGCCGUGCUUACUUGGCAAACUGCCAGUAGGAAGUAGCAUGUGAAACUCUUAGCAAGAUCUUUGGAUAUGACUGUAUUUAGCAAACAGUAUCAACAUGCACUAUCAGCUUCCAGCAUAUCUGUUCUUACAAACCUUUAUCAA